rnacentral:rRNA from 1 species
AUUGAACGCUGGCGGCAGGCCUAACACAUGCAAGUCGAGCGGAUAAAGGGAGCUUGCUCCUGGAUUCAGCGGCGGACGGGUGAGUAAUGCCUAGGAAUCUGCCUGGUAGUGGGUGAUAACGUCCGGAAACGGGCGCUAAUACCGCAUACGUCCUGAGGGAGAAAGUGGGGGAUCUUCGGACCUCACGCUAUCAGAUGAGCCUAGGUCGGAUUAGCUAGUUGGUGGGGUAAGGGCCUACCAAGGCGACGAUCCGUAGCUGGACUGAGAGGAUGAUCAGUCACCCUGGAACUGAGACACGCUCCAGAGUACUACGGGAGGCAGCAGUGGGGAAUGGUGGACAGUGGGCGAAAGCCUGAUCCAGCGAGGCCGCGUGUGUGAAGAAGGUCUUGGGAUUGUAAAGAAGUUUAAGUGGGGAGGAAGCGCAGUAGGUUAAGACCUAGCUGUUUUGACGGUACCAACAGAAUAAGCACCGGCUAACUACGUG